CAUCUAGACAUAGAGCUUGCUUAGAAUUGUGUCUAGGCUUAAGGUUGAUAGUUUGAUUGAUCAUCUGCCAUCCUUAGUUCGAUACUUGAUCACCCAAGGUCUAAUCCCUAUACCCAUGAGUUCUCUUUUCCUUUAGUCAAGAAAGUAUCAUUCUGUUAUUGCUUUCUAGUUUUAGUCAUAGUUUAAAACCCUUCUAAAUCAUUGGUUGCACUUAGAUUAAGUGAGUACUUGCAUUCUCAGUGCUUUGAUAUCCCUCAGAACUGGUUCGACAAUCUUCUAUACUACAACAUUUGUCUUAGGAGCCUUGAAAACUCCUAACAUCAAAUUGGCGCCGUUGCCAAAUUCUGAGUAGAUUUGAACAUUGAGAUUUAGUCACUUGCUUGAGACUAAGUCAUUUUUAUUUUCUUUUGUUACUGAUUCUCUUUCUUCACCUCCCUUUAAUCUACAGGUGUAUGAACUUGAGGAGCAGGGGUCCAUCAAACCUAGUUCCAAUAGCUGCAGACAUCAGAGCUUUAGAGAGAGAGUGUGCUAGAAAUAGAAGAGAAGAAGAGCAACAGGCUCACUUGCAGAGAUUGAGUACUGAUAUGGGAGACAUACCUCAAAACCAACAGCGAGCAGCUCGACCCAUUGGCACUUACGACCGCCCCAACAUUCAUGGUCAUAGAUUGGGAAUCCGAGCACCCGCUGUGGCAGCCAACAACUUUGAGAUCAAAUCAGGACUCCUCAACGUGAUCGAGAACAACAAGUAUCAUGGCUUGGCUCUAGAGGAUCCAUUUGAUCACUUGGACAGGUUCGACAGCUACUGUGGGUUGUCAAAAACCAAUGGUGUGUCCGAAGAUGCCUUAAAGCUCAAGCUAUUCCCUUUCUCUUUGGGGGAUAAGGCACGUCAGUGGGAGAAGUCUCUACCCAGUGACUCCAUCACUACUUGGGAUGACUGCAAGAAAGCAUUCUUGGAGAAGUUCUUCUCUACUUCAAGAACUGCUAAGCUGAGAAACGAGAUUUCCAGCUUUCAACAGAAGAACUUGGAAGGCUUCAGUGAAGCCUGGGAGAGAUUCAAGGGCUACCAAACUCAAUGCCCACACCAUGGCUUUUCUAAGGAGAGCUUGCUAAGCACAUUCUACCGUGGUGCUCUUCCUAAGUACAGAGCCAGACUGGAUACAGCUAGCAAUGGGUUCUUCUUGGGGAGAACUGAGGAGGAUGCAGAAGAACUGGUUGACAACAUGGUAAAGAGUGAUGCAGUCUACAGUGGAGACCACGACAGAAACAGUAGAACUGAGGAUAAGCAAACGAGGAAGGAGUUGAAAGCUCUACAGGAUAAGAUAGACAUCCUCCUUGCUGAUAAAGCUACCCAAGAGCAGCUGCACUUUGUCGGCAACCCAAGCCAAGAGACACCAGCUAUUGUCCAUGAAGUUGAGGGUUUGGAAGGUCAGGAAGAGCUGUGUUUCAUCAACAACAAUGGUAGCUGGUACAAGAAAGAACCCAACUUUCAGUACAACAACUACCAACAGAAGUCCUAUUCCAACAACCAGCAGAGUGGCUAUCCGCCAAGAAACAACCAGCAAGGCAGCUAUCAGCCUCAGCAAAACCCCUCGUCUGGUUCCUCUGCUCCUCAAGAGAGCAGCACUGAUACCUUACUGAAGCAAAUCUUGGAGUCUCAGACUAGAAGUGAGAAGCAAGUUGGUUAUGAGUUGAAGAACCUUCAUUCCAAGAUUGAUGGGAGCUACAAUGAGCUCAACAACAAAUUCUCACACCUUACUUCUACAGUCAGGAAUUUAGAGAAUCAAUUUGCUUCCAUGAACACUCACCAGAAUCGCCAGCAAGGAUCUCUACCUGGAAAGUCUGACCAAAAUCCCAAAGAGGCCAAAGCUGUCACCCUUAGGAGCGGUAAGCAGUUACCUCCUAGAACCCUCACCAAGGAUGCUGAGAAAUUAGGUGAGGGGGUUGCCAUCAACAUAGAUGAUGAAGUGGUGAUUGUUGAUGAGAAGAUCAAUGACGAGAUCUUGGAGAAGAUAGUGGAAGCCAAAGGUAAAGGAAAGGUUGGAGAGGAGAAGAAGACAGUAAAGGAUGGUGAAGUUGUUACUCCAGCAAGUGAAAGUUCUUUUGUUCCUCCUCCCUAUGAACCCAAACUUCCAUUCCCUGGUAGAUUCAAGAAGCAGCUGCUAGAGAAAUACAAAGCUCUGUUUGAGAAGCAAAUGAGUGAAGCUCAGGUUGCAAUGCCCAUCAUCGAUGCUUUCAUGUUGAUUCCUCAAUACAACAAUUUCCUGAAAGAUGUUGUAGCUGCAAAGAAGAAGGAGAUGGAAAGCAUGAUGAAUCUUACCCAUGAGUGCAAUGCCAUCAUCCAGAGGCUUGAUGUUCCAGAGAAAUUAGAGGAUCCAGGAAGCUUCACACUACCUUGUGCUCUUGGACCUAUGGUAUUUGAGAAAAGUCUCUGCGAUUUGGGAGCUAGUGUCAGCUUGAUGCCUUUGUCUGUUGCAAAGAAGCUUGGAUUCACUCAGUACAAGAAGUGUAGACUCUCUCUGGUGUUAGCUGAUCGUCCAGUGAAGUACCCUGUGGGCAUCUUAGAGGACCUCCCUGUGAAGAUUGGAAGGUAUGAGAUACCUACAGAUUUUGUGGUGCUUGAGAUGGGUGAGGAGGCUCAAGAUCCAUUGAUUCUAGGAAGGCCAUUCUUAGCUACAGCAGGAGCUAUUGUUAAUGUGAAGGAAGGCACGAUUGAUCUCCAUUUGGGUAAAGAGAACAUCCUCCACUUUGACAUCAAGAGGAUAAUGAGGAAACCAACUGUGUUCGGGCAAGCCUUCUACAUUGAAGAGAUGGACACCCCUGCUGAUGAGCACCUUGAAGAGUUACCACCUGAGGACGACGAGGAGGGAGCAUCUCCCUCUACUCAUUCCCUAUAGAAGGUAACCCACCACACUCCCUUGUAUAUACCAUUUCAUUUUUGCAUAUUAGUCUUCUUUUCGGUAUCUCUCUCUCUACUUGACGACACAGAGACUAUGUCACUCAAGUUUGGGGGAGGUACCAAGUAUUUGAUCAUGUUUGCUUUGAUGUUGUUUCAUUGAGUCAUGCAUGGCAUACCUAUUUGCAUAGAUAAAAAAAAAAAAAAUCAAUCAUUUAGUUUGCAUCAUUUGCAUUUUUAGGAGAGUCUAGAGCAUAUAGGUUGCAUUCACUUGCAUUGGGAGCAAUGAUUUGAAUGCCUUGUAAAGAACACUACGUUGCACUUGACUAGCUUUUGCACCUCUCAAAAAGACUUGUAUGUUUCGAGCCUUGAAAACUCUUCCUGAAACUUGUUGAUUGCUGAAACUCAGUCUUUGAAGCCAACUACAACCUUAUUAGAAAUGAAUGAACUUAAUGCUUCUUGCUUAGGGUCCCUUGUGUACUGAGUCAUGGCUAUACACACUGGAGUUGUCACAUCUUUUAUGCCAAUCUUUUUGACAAACUCUAGUGGUAGACCACUCCCAAAACCUUUCCUUCCUUUUAAGCUUUCAUUGUUUGAUGAGUGAGGCCUUCUUCGAAAAGUCUUACAUGCGCAUAAUGUUGAGAGUAUCGGGAACGACAAUGCUUGAUCUUCAUUUUUGCUAGAUUGGACACUCUUUUGUCUAGCUAUAGGUGGGAGGGUGAGUGUUGUGAUCAUGAUUUGGGAGAAAUGAAAAAUAAAAAGGAUAGACUCUUUGUGCUUAAGUGAAUCGAUUUUCUGGGAUAAGUAGAGAACCUCUAGCUCUAGUUUUGAAAAGUCUUGGCCCCCAACCUAAAAAAAAAAAAAAAAAAAAAAAAAAAAAAAAAAAAAAAGGCAAAAAAAAAAAAAAAAAAAAAAAAAAAAAAAAAAAAAAAAAGAAAAAGAAAAGAAAAAGGGGGGCUAGCAAAGUUGUUAGGAGCUAAGAAAUGUUUUGAGGUUGUGAAAAAUCCCUUGUAGAUUUCAAAGAGAAGGAGUUAAAGUUCUUAGGAUCUUUUGGUGAGAGAUGUGAGUAGGGUUUGACAUUGGGAAAUGAUUGUGUGAUUUGUAUGUUUGGGAAAAGGGUAGAACAAUGGAGAUUGAGCAUUGUAUGCAUGAGUUGGUCCCUUUCUUAGAUAUAUUAUGUGCAAUGUCAAGGCUACUUGUUUUGAGAGUAAACCACCUUAAAGAUCAUAUGUUUUGAACCUCUUGAAUCACUUGAAUAAAAGCCUUCCCUUACCCAACCAAAUGACUUGGACCAACUGACCAUUUGCAAGAAUUCACCUGAUGUUUUGUGCUUAAUGAAUGUGAGAGUUGGUUGAUUUGAAUGUGUGGAUGCUUGAUGAUGAGUGUAAGAACAAAAAGAGUUAAGAUAGGCCUAGAGAAGCUAGAGUGUAAUAAGAGAGUGUGCUAGUUGUGUUUCUUUUGGCUAUGUGCUCCCACCUUCAACCUCUCUCCCUAUGAGUUCUAGAAAGUUCACUUGUGGACAAGUAAAAGAACAAGUUUGGGGGAGUUGAUAUCUUGCAUAUUUGCAUUGUUUUAUCCAUUCAUCCAUUAGCAUUUUCAUCAUAUAGAUUAGGAUUUAGCCAUGUCUAGGUUGCAUUUUGCAUUCAUUGUCCUCAUUAGGUGUUGGAGUGCCACAUGGAGUUCUUGGGGACAUUUGGAUGCAUUUGGAGCUUAAAGGACGUGAAACAGGUGAUCAUUGGACGAGCAGAGCAUGGGAGCGAGGUUCCGCAGCGACGUCAUGAGGUCGCUCCAAAGCACCUCUCAGAGCGACCCCGUGAAGUCGCUCGCCAUAUUCAUCCCGUAGGAAGCUAGAGCGACCAGUCCGGAGCGACACCACCAAGUCGCUCUGACCUCCCUAUUGGAGCGACCUUACCAGAGCGACAGGGAGAAGUCGCUCGCGGUUUCAUCACUCGGAGACGCGAGAACGAGCCCGGAGCGACCUCCCGGAGCGACACCACGAAGUCGCUCGCAUCUCACACCCCUCUCGGAGCGACCUCCCAAAGCGACACCCCGAGGUCGCUCGCGUCUCUAUGGCGAGACGACACGAAGCGAAGCCUGGAGCGACCUCUCAGAGCGACCCACUGAGGUCGCUCCCGAAGGCCGGAGCGACUUGCCGGAGCGACAUGCCGAGGUCGCUCCGCGCCUAUUAUCUGCUCGAUUUCUGUUUUACUUAAGGGCCUUUUGGUCAUUUCAUUAUGCACGUUUUUACAUUUCAAAAACCUAUGUUUUAAACAUCUUUUGUAGCCACCAGUGGCAGAUUAUCUUUUAUCUUUUGAUCUAUUGAGAAAUACACAAGGAUCUCUUGGAUUUUGAUUGUUAUGUUCUUGUGUUCUUGUUGAUUUCUUAUCUAUUUCUCUACAUGGUUAAUCUGAAAUCCAAUAUGGGUUUAAGAGGAAUCAUGGAGAUUAGUGAGUAAUCACCUUUUGAAUUCAUGGGUUAGGGAGAUUAAGGGUGAUUAGGUUAGAGCUAGGAUGUUUUAGUGUAGAUCAUUCAUAUUUCCUUGCUAGUAGAGUAACCAUAAUGCAUCUUCUGAGUUGGCCACUCAGUUGUUGAUCCUUAGGCAUUUCUCACCCGAAAGGUGUUCGAUGAAAUGUCUGAGACAACUCUCCUAGGCUUUUAGUAUACUUUGCCAAAGACAUUUGUUGUUAAAGAUGCUAAGAUAGCUAAUAGACUUGUUAGUAAUGAUUGCUUUCAUAUUAUUCAACCAAAGACAUUUGAUGUUUGAGAUAUGUUAGCAAAUGAGCAUUCAUCUAGACAUAGAGCUUGCUUAGAAUUGUGUCUAGGCUUAAGGUUGAUAGUUUGAUUGAUCAUUUGCCAUCCUUAGUUCGAUACUUGAUCACCCAAGGUCUAAUUCCUAUGCCCAUGAAUUCUCUUUUCCCUUAGUCAAGAAAGUAUCAUUCUGUUAUCGCUUUUUAGUUUUAUUCAUAGUUUAAAACUCAUCUAAAUCAUUGGUUGCACUUAGAUUAAGUGAGUACUUGCAUUCUCAGUGCUUUGAUAUCCCUCAGAACUGGUUCGACAAUCUUUUAUACUACAACAUUUGUCUUAGG
rnacentral:lncRNA from 1 species